UACAGGAGGGUGCAAGCGUUGUUCGGAAUUAUUGGGCGUAAAGAGCUCGUAGGCGGUGUGUCGCGUCGGCCGUGAAAACCUGCAGCUUAACUGUGGGCGUGCGGUCGAUACGGGCAUCACUGGAGUUCGGCAGGGGAGACUGGAAUUCCUGGUGUAGCGGUGAAAUGCGCAGAUAUCAGGAGGAACACCGGUGGCGAAGGCGGCUUUCUGGACGAUAACUGACGCUGGAGACGCGAAAGCGUGGGGAGCAAACAGG
rnacentral:rRNA from 1 species